GAACGCUGGCGGCGUGCCUAACACAUGCAAGUCGAACGAGGUCCAUCCUUCGGGAGAAGACCUAGUGGCGAACGGGUGAGUAACACGUGAAGAACCUGCCCCGAAGACCGGGAUAACCCUCCGAAAGGAGAGCUAAUACCGGAUACCCCCACCGAACCGCAUGGUUUGGUGAGGAAAUGGAUUCCGCUUCGGGAGGGCUUCGCGGCCUAUCAGCUAGUUGGUGGGGUAACGGCCCACCAAGGGCAUCGACGGGUAGCUGGUCUGAGAGGACGAUCAGCCACACUGGGACUGAGACACGGCCCAGACUCCUACGGGAGGCAGCAGUGGGGAAUCUUGCGCAAUGGGCGAAAGCCUGACGCAGCAACGCCGCGUGGGGAUGAAGGCUCUCGGGUUGUAAACCCCUUUCAGCAGGGACGAAUCAAGACGGUACCUGCAGAAGAAGCCCCGGCUAACUACGUG
rnacentral:rRNA from 1 species